rnacentral:misc_RNA from 1 species
UCCGAGUUGACCCCGGCAGUCUCCUUUGAGUUCCCACCAUUACGUGCUGGCAACAAAGAACGAGGGUUGCGCUCGUUGCGGGACUUAACCCAACAUCUCACGACACGAGCUGACGACAACCAUGCACCACCUGUAUACCGACCUUGCGGGGCGACUGUUUCCAGCCGUUUCCGGUAUAUGUCAAGCCUUGGUAAGGUUCUUCGCGUUGCAUCGAAUUAAUCCGCAUGCUCCGCCGCUUGUGCGGGCCCCCGUCAAUUCCUUUGAGUUUUAGCCUUGCGGCCGUACUCCCCAGGCGGGGAACUUAAUGCGUUAGCUGCGACACAGAAUCCGUGGAAUGGACCCUACAUCUAGUUCCCAACGUUUACGGCAUGGACUAC